GGGGAAUAUUGGUCAAUGGGCGCAAGCCUGAUCCAGCAAUGCCGCGUGGAUGAAGAAGGUCUUCGGAUUGUAAAGUCCUCUCGGCGGGGACGAUGAUGACGGUACCCGCAGAAGAAGCCCCGGCUAACUUCGUGCCAGCAGCCGCGGUAAUACGAAGGGGGCUAGCGUUACUCGGAAUUACUGGGCGUAAAGGGCGCGUAGGCGGCGACGACAGUCAGGCGUGAAAUUCCUGGGCUUAACCUGGGGGCUGCGCUUGAUACAUCAUUGCUAGAGGACGGAAGAGGGUCGUGGAAUUCCCAGUGUAGAGGUGAAAUUCGUAGAUAUUGGGAAGAACACCGGUGGCGAAGGCGGCGACCUGGUCCGUUACUGACGCUGAGGCGCGACAGCGUGGGGAGCAAAC
rnacentral:rRNA from 1 species